rnacentral:misc_RNA from 1 species
GAACUCGUGGAGAACAAUCCCCUAAUUGCAGUUGAAGUUCUUACUAAGUUGAUAAAUUCUCCUGAAAUUGCCGACUAUUUUACGGUACUUGUCAAUAUGGACAUGAGUCUGCAUUCAAUGGAAGUCGUUAACAGGCUUACAACAGCAGUUGAACUGCCAAAGGCAUUUGUACGCAUGUACAUAACGAAUUGUAUUUCAUCCUGUGAAAAUAUUAAGGUACUCCACUGCACACAUUGGUAGUUGCUUUAUACCUAUUCAACUGUAGUGAUUGAAGGACUCGAGGAUAGCAAAAGUCAACAAAAAACAGCUUACUAUACUGGUUGUGGUAGUGUUCAUCUUAUGGGUUUAGGAUUACAGGUAAUAAGAAGAGGAUUAGAUUGUGAGAAAGGUAAUUGUUGUGGGCGGAAGAGAGAAUAAAUAGGAAGUUUGGGAAGAGGAAAGUUGCAGAAUUCAGGGGAAGAUUUCCAGGAUUCUUCUCUCUUUUCAAAGGUGCAUCCAAUCACACACAUUGAAGUUAGGAGAGAAUGGUUCUUUUGUUUGUUGAUGGCUUCAAAUUAUUUUCCUAUUGGUUUGUGAUCGUUUGCCCUCUGGAUAAUGUUGAAUUUAUGAUCGAAAUGGGGGAGGGAUUGGCCAUCUAACCUACAUGUUGACUAAAUUAGUAGACUUAUUUGUUGUUUAAGAUUAUACCUGCAAGUAACAACUUCCUCUCCACAAUAUGAAAUGCUCCCAAAAAGUGUUCAUUGAUUUUAUUCUGAAUUAAUAGUUUCCUUCUAGCUAGUUUUUCCUGUCAAACCAUUUCUGGUUGAUGUAAACAUGUUUUAGAUAUAUGUAGCAGUUUUAAAGUUUUAAUCCUACUUUCCAGUGUUGACCAGAAGUCUGUUUUAAUUCACAUUAACUAAAUCUAUGGAUUGAUGGCCAUAAAUUCUUAGCUUUAAUCAACAUUAGAUGAUCAGUAUUUGAUUAUAGUAUUGAAAUUAUAUAAUUUUAUUUGUUGGUCAUAAACAGAUCAUGAUGUAGUAUACUAAUCUCUCCCCUAUUUUACAGGAUAAAUACAUGCAGAACAGGCUUGUCAGACUUGUUUGUGUUUUCCUGCAGAGUUUGAUUCGGAAUAAAAUUAUUGAUGGUCAGUAUGCCUUUCUAUUCUUGUGGUUAGAACUUCUAUACAAGUCAGUUAAAUACAUGAGAUCAUAUGCGUCAACAUGGACAUUCGUCUUUGAGUCCGUAUUGGAAUUUUUUUUCCUUUGCAUGACCUAUAAUAAUCAUUGCCAUAAGAAAAUAAAGAAAACCAUCUCUCUCUCUCUGUAUUCAAUUAUUCACCUUAAUGUAUGCGCAUAUGCCUAUUUGGCGCUACAAGAUGGCAACAAAUUUUGUUUAUUAACUUACCAGUUGAUAUGAUUGAACUGUGUAAUUUGCAUGUAUUUUUUUGUUCCAGUGAGGGGGACAGUUGGGUAAGAACUUGAAUUGACUAUCAGCAUCAAUGUAGAUAUUUGGCUAUUAGGCCAGUGGUCCAAUGACAUGUCCAUAUUAUAUUAGGUGUUGAAAAUUAUGCUAUAUGAACUUGUUUUUGAUUUCUUAUGCUCGUAUUUUGUUUAUCAAUUAUUCUUUCAUUAUAUCAUUUUUUACUGCGUACUUUGUUCAUGUUUUGCCAAUGAUUGUUGGUUUGCAGUUAAGGAUCUCUACAUUGAAGUCCAAGCCUUUUGUAUCGAGUUUUCACGAAUUAGGGAAGCAGCUGGCUUGUUUAGGCUUCUGAAAACCAUGGAGUGAAUGGUCCUUUUCACCCUUUUUUUUUUUUUUUUUUUUUU